rnacentral:rRNA from 1 species
CCUACGGGUGGCAGCAGUGGGGAAUAUUGCACAAUGGGCGCAAGCCUGAUGCAGCCAUGCCGCGUGUGUGAAGAAGGCCUUCGGGUUGUAAAGCACUUUCAGCGGGGAGGAAGGCGGUGAGGUUAAUAACCUCAUCGAUUGACGUUACCCGCAGAAGAAGCACCGGCUAACUCCGUGCCAGCAGCCGCGGUAAUACGGAGGGUGCAAGCGCUAAUCGGAAUUACUGGGCGUAAAGCGCACGCAGGCGGUCUGUCAAGUCGGAUGUGAAAUCCCCGGGCUCAACCUGGGAACUGCAUUCGAAACUGGCAGGGUAGAGUCUUGUAGAGGGGGGUAGAAUUCCAGGUGGUGGGGGGAAAGUCGUAGGGGUCUGGAGGAAUACCGGGUGCGAAGGCGGCCCCCUGGACAAAGACUGACGCUCAGGUGCGAAAGCGUGGGGAGCAAACAGGAUUAGAUACCCCAGUAGUC